CUUUUGUUAUGGAAAUUGUUCUUUAUUUGACUCCAUAUCUGCUUUUAUGUUUUCCCCGCCAGCUACCGCUGCUUCACUUAACACAAGCUUCUGAAGCCACUAGCCCUUUUGAGGCCAUUUCUAUCUAUUACCAGAUAUUUGCCAAUCCUUCAUCUUCCUUCAUCUUCUCCAGAGGCCCUAACAAUAAAGGAGCAGGCCAUUUUUUUAGUACUAUCCAGUUUUAUAUAUACGUCACUCAAACCCACAAAAAUAACAGGCGAAGGAGAGGAGCACGGAAAACCACCACCACCUUUUUCUUCUUUUCAUACUUGCGGGAAAACACAGGAGAGUCUUUGAGCAAGAAAAUGUAUAGCAACGGAGACUCUUCUUCUCCGGAGGACUCCAAUGGCGAAUCAAAUGAAAAGGCUCAGAGAUCGAUCAGAGUUUGUUGCAGGUUUAGAUGGUCCACAUUGACAAACAUUUGCCUCAUCUGGAGAAUACAGGGCAAUGACUGACAUGUGAGCAACAUACCCACCAUAUGAUGCAUAAUAAACAGAUCUUUGCCAAACGGGCUGAAGAGCACGAAAGAUUCAUCAACAAGGUUGCACUGAUUGGGAGCUUUUUGGGUUGAUAGGUGACUUAUUUGUUGAGUGUUCUUGGGUUUGGAACAUUCUGCUUUCUGUUGGGUGCCAGGCCUCAAGAUGUCCCUUAUGCAUAUUGUUUGCUCUCUAUCAUAUUUGUUCCUCUACGGUGGAUUUAUUAUCGAUACAAGAAAUGGCAUUAUUAUCUCUUGGACUUCUGCUACUACGCCAACACACUAUUCUUGGUCAUGCUUCUUUGUUUUCCUAGAAAUGAGAAGUUUUUCAUGAUUUGCUUCUCUUUUGCAGAGGGUCCACUGGCUUGGGCACUGAUUGUGUGGAGAUGCAGCUUAGCCUUUAAUUCUUUCGACAAAAUUGUAAGCGUCUUCAUACAUCUUUUGUCUGGUAAGUUGGACAUCCUUCUCUACAAAAUAAGACAAAGGAACUUAAGAACCUUUUGAUCCAACUUCGGCCCUUCUUUUCCUUGAUCCCCAAAGCAAAAGCUGCAAAAAUUAUCUGUGGAAUUCUUGAUACGGUGGCCAAAAUACCUGCCGCAUCUGAUGUUCAGAUUGCCCUAUGCAAGGAAAUUGUGCAAUAGACACGUGAUGAGAAGUGAACUUUCCUUCGUUAGCGCACUGAGGCAAAGCUUGCAGCUCUAUUGAUGGAGACCAAGGAAGAAUCCGAAACUUUAGCUCUCCUUUCUGGACCAAUCAAGGAGGUUCAGAAUAUAGGAAAGCUUCAGCUGAGUCCAUUAAGUGCUCUUUUUAUCACUUGAAUUUCUUCAUUUCCAACCUCCCAUAACUCAACUAAAGCUAUAGACGAAUGUCCUGACCUCAAGACCAAGGCUGCUGAGUCAAAUAAAGCAGCAAAGAUAGAUUCAAGAUCAAAAUCCAUUGUUGAAAGGAUGCUUGAUAAAACUGGCUCACCCGGGCUACAAAUUAGGUUAAGUUUAGCGCAACAGCACUACGAGAAACACAAGCAGUGUCUACUAUAGGGAAGGCAUAAAUCAGUUCCUGUGUGAUAGUCUAACAAGCGCUAAUGCUGAGCUCUUGACAGUUUAUGGAACAGAAGAAGCAACUGAUACACUGAUUGAGCAGAUAACUUGGGAUCAAGACCCCAUACUACGUUAUGGAUAAAUGUAUGCAUUUGCAUUGGCUUACAGUAGAAAUGCAAACAACAAGGCCAUUCGACAGCUGCUGCAUUUUGCUGCAUCAGAAUUGAGUGACAAUGUUAGGCACACUGCAGUUUUGGCACUGGGUUAGUUUCUCUUACGUUCAGACUCCUCAAAUCGUCUCCCUGCUCUCUGAAUCAUAUAAUCCACAUGUUCAUCAUAGUCCAGUUCUUAUGUUUGGCAUAUCAUGUGCUGGUACUGGUCUGAGCGAGGCCAUAUCAUUGCUGGAGCCUUUGACAUCAGAUGUGCCAGCGAUUCCCCUGUUGAUGCAUUCAGAUUCAUGGUGCUGCAGAAAGGAAAUCAGAACUGGAGCUCUUUGAAUGGACUAAGCAUUUUGAGCUCAUGUGUAACACAUAGUUCACGACACAAGCCUGAACUAGCGUGUCAGUUAUUGCCUUUUUUUUUUUUUAUAGCAGCAUGGACAUUGUUCUUUAACUUUUCUAACAGGAAACUCAUUCUAUUGAUUUCUGCUCACACUUAAUAUCAGAGCCUAAAACAUCAUGCAGUGAAAGCAAUUGCUCAUGCUCAUUCAUUGUAAGACACUUAUUGCGCUUAUAGAUUGUGUAUACAACUUCCGCAUUGCUACUAU